rnacentral:rRNA from 1 species
CCUACGGGUGGCAGCAGUGGGGAAUAUUGGACAAUGGGCGAAAGCCUGAUCCAGCCAUGCCGCGUGUGUGAAGAAGGCCUUCGGGUUGUAAAGCACUUUCAGUGGGGAAGAAAGCCUUGGGGCUAAUACCCUCGAGGAAGGACAUCACCCACAGAAGAAGCACCGGCUAACUCCGUGCCAGCAGCCGCGGUAAUACGGAGGGUGCGAGCGUUAAUCGGAAUUACUGGGCGUAAAGCGCGCGUAGGCGGUCUGAUAAGCCGGUUGUGAAAGCCCCGGGCUCAAACUGGGAACGGCAUCCGGAACUGUCAGGCUAGAGUGCAGGAGAGGAAGGUAGAAUUCCCGGUGUAGCGGUGAAAUGCGUAGAGAUCGGGAGGAAUACCAGUGGCGAAGGCGGCCUUCUGGACUGACACUGACGCUGAGGUGCGAAAGCGUGGGUAGCAAACAGGAUUAGAUACCCUAGUAGUC